GAAGGGUGCAAGCGUUACUCGGGAAUUACUGGGGCGUAAAGCGUGCGUAGGUGGUGGUUUAAGUCUGCUGUGAAAGCCCUGGGGCUCAACCUGGGGAAUUGCAGUGGAUACUGGGUCACUAGAGUGUGGUAGAGGGAUGCGGAAUUUCCGGUGUAGCAGUGAAAUGCGUAGAGAUCGGAAGGAACAUCCGUGGCGAAGGCGGCAUCCUGGGCCAACACUGACACUGAGGCACGAAAGCGUGGGGAGCAAACAGGAUUAGAUACCCUGGUAGUCCACGCCCUAAACGAUGCGAACUGGAUGUUGGGUGCAACUUGGCACCCAGUAUCGAAGCUAACGCGUUAAGUUCGCCGCCUGGGGAGUACGGUCGCAAAGACUG
rnacentral:rRNA from 1 species